UGCGUAGGCGGCUAGAUAAGUCAGAGGUGAAAUCCUACAGCUUAACUGUAGAACUGCCUUUGAAACUGUUUAGCUAGAAUAGAGUUGAGGUUAGCGGAAUGUGACAUGUAGCGGUGAAAUGCAUAGAUAUGUCAUAGAACACCAAUUGCGAAGGCAGCUAACUGGGCUUUUAUUGACGCUGAGGCACGAAAGCGUGGGGAGCGAACAGGAUUAGAUACCCUGGUAGUCC
rnacentral:rRNA from 1 species